GAUGAACGCUAGCGGCAGGCUUAACACAUGCAAGUCGAGGGGUAUAGUAGCAAUACUAGAGACCGGCGCACGGGUGCGUAACGCGUAUGCAACCUACCUUUUACAGAGGGAUAGCCCCAGAGAAAUUUGGAUUAAAUACCCUCAUAGUGUUAUUAGAUGGCAUCAUUUGAUAACUAAAGUUCCAACGGUAAAAGAUGGGCAUGCGUCCUAUCAGCUAGAUGGUAAGGUAACGGCUUACCAUGGCUACGAUAGGUAGGGUCCUGAGAGGGAGAUCCCCCANACUGGUACUGAGACACGGACCAGACUCCUACGGGAGGCAGCAGUGAGGAAUAUUGGACAAUGGGCGCAAGCCCGAUCCAGCCA
rnacentral:rRNA from 1 species